rnacentral:lncRNA from 1 species
GUAUUGUUGCAAUGCAGCUUAGGAAGAGAUGUCCUUUAGAGCAGUGACUUUUCAAUCAGUAACAUUUCCUAACUUGAACUUAAUAGUCAUGAGAGAGUUACCAUAUGCAAAAAGACAAGGAAAGAUGUCGUGACAAUCCCCAACAGAAAAGCUCAUACAAGCAAUACCUACAUGACCAUGAUUGUUCAUGUUGGCACCUUUUGAAUAGCAGGUAGCAAGUUCCAAAUCAUCCUGUUACUGCUGUCAACAUUAUUCUAACUCCAUUCUCCUGGCAACUGAAAGCAGGGGUGAAGAACAGUGGGAGCUGCAAGUUCCCUGAUGUAGUCAUCUUCUGUGUUCAGCAGCAUCCUUAUGUUGCUUAUCUUCAUUGCCAAAUCCUAGGUGAGUGCACCACAUUUUUUCCAGAAAUGUGACUUGUCUUUCUCAGAAGGGUUUUCUUUCUCCAUUCAAGGCACCUACUCACCACAAGCUACUGUUCAUCUGUCAGAACAAAACAUCACAGGGAAGAAAAAUAACACUUCUGUAGCUUCAACAUGAGAGGCAGUCAGCAACUUGAGCAGCUGCACCUGCAGCUCUGCUUCUAGUCCAUCUCAGUGGUCUGGAAACACAGCUCUACUAGAAGGAAUCAUGCAGCUUUCACCAGCUUCACUCCUACUCAGCACUACCAGUAGGACAACAGCUUUAUUCCCACUUUCAUGGCAAUGUGGAGGUGUAAAAAUGUCUUCGAAUGCAAAGGUUCCUCUGGUCGUUUGGCGUGGCUGAUGUGUGAUACUCUAAGAAUCGUUCAUGGCUCGAUGUUUCCAAAUGAAAGGAUUCCUUUAUCUAUUUAUGAGUGAGAUGUGAAGCACUGCUGUUUUUUCAGGCAAGGUCUGAGGACCCACUGAGGUAAGCAACUAAAACUGAUAAAGCAUGAGAGAGCCCCAGAGAGCCUUUUAAAAGGCUUCAGAAGUCCAUAGAACACCCAGAGGCUAUGUCUCCAUACUAGAAAGUAGAACAGGACCAGGAUACUGGUCUGCAAUUGUGUGUCUUGUUUAAUUGUUACAGUGCUCCAUGGCACAGAUUUGGUCCAUGCCAGCUAGCAAUACUGCUGGAAACAAAAAGGAUUGGAU